UACAGUAACAUUCCACAUUUGCCCUUGGUCCAAGUGAAUUUGUUGCCUGGCUCUGUCUUCUUCCUUUUCCUGAAUCCCUCUGAUUUUUCAUUUUCUUGUGUGUUUUUAACCAGAAAUUGCUCCCAUCUUUUCAAUUUCUAGCAUCCUCUCUCCUCUUUCUCUCUUAAUUUCCUACCCUCCAUAUCUCCAAUUCUCAAUUAUUCAUCUAAUAAACCCAAAUUUUUAGCAAUUGAUGGUUACAAUAGACGGCAUCGUCGAGAGCGGUUUGGAACUCUAAAUUUUGGACCCUCGAUCGAAAGGGGUUUGAAAAGUGCUCUCUAAAACUUGCAGCGGCUCCUGACCUAUGUCUCUUCCAAUGGUGGUACCAUUUUGUUUAGAUCAUCAACUUCAUUGUCUAGGGUUUUGCCUUACAAUUUCGUUAAUUUGGUAUGCUACUCUGUAUUCCAUUUUCAUCAUUUCAAUAGCUAUUCUUCAAUUUUGCCUCGAUUUGUGGGUGUCUUUUGUGAAUCCUUGACGAAGACGACGAUGCCUUCAUUCUCCUGGGGGUGCUGGUUUUAUUGGAUCACAUGCAGCACCAACACUUUUAAGACAUGUAUCAUGAGACAAUUGUGGUAUCCUCUCCCUUUAAUCAUCCUUACUGUCCACUAAUCUUUCUCGUGGGAACCUAGCUGCUGCAACAAAUUUUUCCUAAACCAGGAAAACUUCAGUUUGAUAUGGGUUGCUGUUACUCAAAAGUGUUCAUUUGAAGUACAAAUAAGAUCACCAGUGUAAAAUUAAGGCAUGAAUUCAGUACCUUGUGACUGUGAUCAGGACGGAAGGAGUAGUAACAGGCUUUUGUAAUACAAUUGCUUUAGGUUUUAAGGUUUGGGUAAUUUUUUAGUGUUGUUUGAUCUUCAGAUUUGAUGAUUAUGUUUUGUGUAUUAUUUUUUUUUUUUUUUUUUUUUUUUUUUUUUUUGUUGUUGAUGUGUGUGAUGUGUUUUGAGAGAUUUUGGAAUAGCUCUUAAGAAAUGCAAUCAGAGUAAAAUUCUUUUGAUUUUAAACCUAAAUUCUGUUGAUUUUAAAUCAAAGUUGUAUUCUUUUUCAUUUCAGAGUGGUGAGUAUAUGAUGUAUCAUUCUUCAAAGGAAAAUAUCUGUUAUUGUAACUGGCAAACACUUUCAAAGGAGACCUCCUCUUGAGUUAAUCCACUUUCAAAGGACAAGUAGCAAAUAUAUAUCUAAUAAGCAUGUAGAACAUGAAGUAUUUCGGGCAGUUUGGGUUCAUUAUAUUCGAUUGACGGGAAAUGCUUUGGUGCCAUGUUAAGAGAGGAUUUUUAUCAAUAGCAGAGGUGAAUACCAAAGGUAUAGUUCUUAGGUUUCCUAUCAGAUAUAUGUCAGGCAAUGCUUUCAUGGUGGUUCAACACUCAUGGUUGCUCAUCUAAAUGAGAAUCUCCAUGAUAUUGGGGCUUAUUCGGUACAAUUGUGCAUGGACAGCCAAGAAGUCAACCUCAACAAUUGAUAGAAUUUCAAGGCUUUUUAGGAGACUUUUUCUCCAGCAUUAGCAAAUGAGAAUGGCCAAGAAAACCUGCAACUAGAGCCAAUUGGAUAAGCAUUCUCGUCGAGGAUUGCAAGCAAAGGUGCAUCAAAGGAUGAAGCUGUUGAAAUAAAUGGGAGUCCUAUUGCUUUGUUCUUUCAAAACUUGGCCUUUGUGACAGCCUGGUUACAUGAAUUAUGAUUGUAUGAUGAUUACUAAGUUUUCAUUGCAGUAAUGAAUAUUUUGCCUUUAAUCUUUUUGCUUCUAUAUUCACUUCAAGAAGUCCUUUGUUGGUUUAAAAUCAAAGGUGCUAAUGGUAGCUGAGAUUAGAAAUAUUAAUGCAUCCUUCCAUUUUGUCUUAAUUUUGUAUACAAUGCGUAACGUGAUUCAAAGUUCCCAUGUAAUAAAGUUGAGUAUAGCAAUAUCAGGUUGACGAA